rnacentral:rRNA from 1 species
AGGUCGACGAUUCCUACGGGAGGCAGCAGUGGGGAAUAUUGCACAAUGGGCGCAAGCCUGAUGCAGCCAUGCCGCGUGUGUGAAGAAGGCCUUCGGGUUGUAAAGCACUUUCAGCGAGGAGGAAGGUGGUGAGCUUAAUACGCUCAUCAAUUGACGUUACUCGCAGAAGAAGCACCGGCUAACUCCGUG